UUUAAAUCUCUCCCAGAGGCCCAACCAGCCUUGCUCCCUGCUCUGGCCAGUGGCAGGUCCCUUUUGGAGCCAGCUGGAGCUGGCUCUGACAUGACAAGGGGCAGCUGCUGGGCUCUGCUCACAGGCCAUUCCUGCAGCCCCCUGCUACCAAACCCUUGCCACGUAAACCCAUUACAAUUUCAGACAACACUAACAGGGAAGCAAGCAAAACAUGAAUGAAAAGUCCCACUGGGCUGUUGAAGACUGGAACACCUGCAAAAAUUUGCGGCAAUAACCCCAGGGCACUUAGGACUUUGCAGAAAGAGGAAGGAAGCAGCAUGGAGGCUGAGAGCAAGGAGUACAACAUCUGA
rnacentral:lncRNA from 1 species